rnacentral:rRNA from 1 species
GAUUAAGUUAUUAAGGGCGCACGGUGGAUGCCUUGGCACUAGAAGCCGAUGAAGGACGUUACUAACGACGAUAUGCUUUGGGGAGCUGUAAGUAAGCUUUGAUCCAGAGAUUUCCGAAUGGGGAAACCCAGCAUGAGUUAUGUCAUGUUAUCGAUAUGUGAAUACAUAGCAUAUCAGAAGGCACACCCGGAGAACUGAAACAUCUUAGUACCCGGAGGAAGAAAAAGAAAAUUCGAUUCCCUUAGUAGCGGCGAGCGAAACGGGAAGAGCCCAAACCAACAAGCUUGCUUGUUGGGGUUGUAGGACACUCUAUACGGAGUUACAAAGGACGACAUUAGACGAAUCAUCUGGAAAGAUGAAUCAAAGAAGGUAAUAAUCCUGUAGUCGAAAAUGUUGUCUCUCUUGAGUGGAUCCUGAGUACGACGGAACACGUGAAAUUCCGUCGGAAUCUGGGAGGACCAUCUCCUAAGGCUAAAUACUCUCUAGUGACCGAUAGUGAACCAGUACCGUGAGGGAAAGGUGAAAAGCACCCCGGAAGGGGAGUGAAAUAGAACCUGAAACCGUGUGCUUACAAGUAGUCAGAGCCCGUUAAUGGGUGAUGGCGUGCCUUUUGUAGAAUGAACCGGCGAGUUACGAUUUGAUGCAAGGUUAAGCAGUAAAUGUGGAGCCGUAGCGAAAGCGAGUCUGAAUAGGGCGUUUAGUAUUUGGUCGUAGACCCGAAACCAGGUGAUCUACCCUUGGUCAGGUUGAAGUUCAGGUAACACUGAAUGGAGGACCGAACCGACUUACGUUGAAAAGUGAGCGGAUGAACUGAGGGUAGCGGAGAAAUUCCAAUCGAACCUGGAGAUAGCUGGUUCUCUCCGAAAUAGCUUUAGGGCUAGCCUCAAGUGAUGAUUAUUGGAGGUAGAGCACUGUUUGGACGAGGGGCCCCUCUCGGGUUACCGAAUUCAGACAAACUCCGAAUGCCAAUUAAUUUAACUUGGGAGUCAGAACAUGGGUGAUAAGGUCCGUGUUCGAAAGGGAAACAGCCCAGACCACCAGCUAAGGUCCCAAAAUAUAUGUUAAGUGGAAAAGGAUGUGGCGUUGCCCAGACAACUAGGAUGUUGGCUUAGAAGCAGCCAUCAUUUAAAGAGUGCGUAAUAGCUCACUAGUCGAGUGACACUGCGCCGAAAAUGUACCGGGGCUAAACAUAUUACCGAAGCUGUGGAUUGUCCUUUGGACAAUGGUAGGAGAGCGUUCUAAGGGCGUUGAAGCAUGAUCGUAAGGACAUGUGGAGCGCUUAGAAGUGAGAAUGCCGGUGUGAGUAGCGAAAGACGGGUGAGAAUCCCGUCCACCGAUUGACUAAGGUUUCCAGAGGAAGGCUCGUCCGCUCUGGGUUAGUCGGGUCCUAAGCUGAGGCCGACAGGCGUAGGCGAUGGAUAACAGGUUGAUAUUCCUGUACCACCUAUAAUCGUUUUAAUCGAUGGGGGGACGCAGUAGGAUAGGCGAAGCGUGCGAUUGGAUUGCACGUCUAAGCAGUAAGGCUGAGUAUUAGGCAAAUCCGGUACUCGUUAAGGCUGAGCUGUGAUGGGGAGAAGACAUUGUGUCUUCGAGUCGUUGAUUUCACACUGCCGAGAAAAGCCUCUAGAUAGAAAAUAGGUGCCCGUACCGCAAACCGACACAGGUAGUCAAGAUGAGAAUUCUAAGGUGAGCGAGCGAACUCUCGUUAAGGAACUCGGCAAAAUGACCCCGUAACUUCGGGAGAAGGGGUGCUCUUUAGGGUUAACGCCCAGAAGAGCCGCAGUGAAUAGGCCCAAGCGACUGUUUAUCAAAAACACAGGUCUCUGCUAAACCGUAAGGUGAUGUAUAGGGGCUGACGCCUGCCCGGUGCUGGAAGGUUAAGAGGAGUGGUUAGCUUCUGCGAAGCUACGAAUCGAAGCCCCAGUAAACGGCGGCCGUAACUAUAACGGUCCUAAGGUAGCGAAAUUCCUUGUCGGGUAAGUUCCGACCCGCACGAAAGGCGUAACGAUUUGGGCACUGUCUCAACGAGAGACUCGGUGAAAUCAUAGUACCUGUGAAGAUGCAGGUUACCCGCGACAGGACGGAAAGACCCCGUGGAGCUUUACUGUAGCCUGAUAUUGAAAUUCGGCACAGCUUGUACAGGAUAGGUAGGAGCCUUUGAAACGUGAGCGCUAGCUUACGUGGAGGCGCUGGUGGGAUACUACCCUAGCUGUGUUGGCUUUCUAACCCGCACCACUUAUCGUGGUGGGAGACAGUGUCAGGCGGGCAGUUUGACUGGGGCGGUCGCCUCCUAAAAGGUAACGGAGGCGCUCAAAGGUUCCCUCAGAAUGGUUGGAAAUCAUUCAUAGAGUGUAAAGGCAUAAGGGAGCUUGACUGCGAGACCUACAAGUCGAGCAGGGUCGAAAGACGGACUUAGUGAUCCGGUGGUUCCGCAUGGAAGGGCCAUCGCUCAACGGAUAAAAGCUACCCCGGGGAUAACAGGCUUAUCUCCCCCAAGAGUUCACAUCGACGGGGAGGUUUGGCACCUCGAUGUCGGCUCAUCGCAUCCUGGGGCUGUAGUCGGUCCCAAGGGUUGGGCUGUUCGCCCAUUAAAGCGGUACGCGAGCUGGGUUCAGAACGUCGUGAGACAGUUCGGUCCCUAUCCGUCGUGGGCGUAGGAAAUUUGAGAGGAGCUGUCCUUAG